rnacentral:rRNA from 1 species
AGUGAACGCUGGCGGUAGGCCUAACACAUGCAAGUCGAACGGCAGCACAGUAAGAGCUUGCUCUUACGGGUGGCGAGUGGCGGACGGGUGAGGAAUACAUCGGAAUCUACUUUUUCGUGGGGGAUAACGUAGGGAAACUUACGCUAAUACCGCAUACGACCUACGGGUGAAAGCAGGGGAUCUUCGGACCUUGCGCGAUUGAAUGAGCCGAUGUCGGAUUAGCUAGUUGGCGGGGUAAAGGCCCACCAAGGCGACGAUCCGUAGCUGGUCUGAGAGGAUGAGCGGCCACACUGGAACGGAGACACGGUCCAGACUCCUACGGGAGGCAGCAGUGGGGAAUAUUGGAGAAGGGGCGCAAGCGUAAUCCAGCCAUACGGCGUGGGUGAAGAAGGCCUUCGGGUUGUAAAGCACUUUUGUUGGGAAAGAAAAGCAGCAGGUUAAUACCCCGCUGUUCUGACGGUACCCAAAGAAUAAGCACCGGCUAACUUCGU